GGGGAAAUAAACAGAGCGCCAACUCAACAGUCAGCGCCCCUGUGCAUCGCAGCGCAACCUGCGAUGGGAGAGGUUUCUCUGCCUUCGUGGCCGCUUCCUUAACAGAUUCAUGAUUGGCAGGUGGCCUGCGAGCUCUCACAUGCGUGCGGUGGGCGCCCCAGGGACUGCCCCUCCUUUGGCAGGAGCCUGACGAGAGAAACCUGAUAAAUUUGCACAGGGACAGAUGCUCAGGGGAAAGGAAAGAGCUCUGCCUUGCACUUGUACAGAAAGGAAACAAGGCAGCAGAGGCAAGACCAAUGGAGAGUACGGCAGCAAGACAGAAAGGGGCAGAAGGCGACAGAACAUGCACGCUGGGGACAUGGAAAUUUCUAGAAAGAAGGCGCAAGCAGAAACAGGACACCGGCGAUAAAAAGUUCCCUUUGUAACCAGACCAGCUGAGACCAGUUACAAAGCCUACCCCAGGUAUCCGACCAGAUGACUUCAAAAAGACCUCAGGCUUCAUUAUAAUCUAAUUUCCAUGCUAAAUGACACUUCCACCAGUGUCAUGACGGUUGCCAGUCCCCGUGACAAUGACCAGAAGGAGCCAUAAAAGGACAAAAACAAGGGAGCCCCUCAUUCCAAGAAGUGUACCGCCCAGUUCCAGAAAAGACAUGGAUAUUCCUCCUCUUGCUUUUAAUGUCCAGCCAUCAUUAAGGAAACCCUAUAUGAUAACCCCCUCACCCCUCACUAAUUGAGAAGUUGAUUUGUGAGCCAAGCUCCCGCUUCUCAAUUCCAUGGCCAUCGAAUAAAGCCUGCACCACUUGAC
rnacentral:lncRNA from 1 species